rnacentral:lncRNA from 1 species
CUCACAUGUCACAAGGGCCCGAGCACAUACGCUUGACUGAGCUGUGGCUGAGCAUAUGAGGCUCAUGUGACAGGAGUUGCUGCAUGCAUCUGUUCCAAGUAAUGCUUGGGGAAGUUGUCAUCAAGACCCACCCGGUGGCAGAAAUUCAUGGGUGGGGACUACAUCGGGCCUUUCCAAAAACACAAAGACUUUUGUUGAGUGUUCUCAGAAUGAAGAGAAGAGAAAGACGACUUUCACAGGCUUGGACAGAGAAAGAGAUGAGAGAGGAGAAAUGUUGCAACAGUCCUCAAACACUUAGUACCUCAGUGCACUGUAGAAGACUUCUCACCACUACAGUCCAUACCAGGAGGCCUAGAGGUGUCACAAAGGUCUCUGGGGGCGACGAGCAAUCCUCACAACGCAGCAGAACACACUCCCAUGACCUCAGGUCACUGGGCAUUAAAAAUCCAGAUGACUUCAUUUGCUGGUGGACAACAUCCUGAGCACAUGGAUUUGAAAGUCCAGUGCCUGUCACAGUGAAGUUUCAUAGAAUGAAUGAAUGAACAAUGACAGAAAGAAAUGAAGAGAUACUGAGAGGGUGCACAGGGAACAAUUCCAUUUUAUCCUAAAGGUAAAUCGGCUGAGUGGUACAUCCUGAUGGUCACCUGGAUACUUUGCAAUGGGAGAUGGUCCAGCCAUGACUAGAAGCUUGGAACUUCCAGUAGAACCCCGAUUUCUGAAAAGAAACAGUCUGGACAGAGGUACUCUGCAUCAGUGCAUGGAGCUGCUCCCAAAAGACAUGAGUUAUUAAAUAAAACCUCAGUGCCAAGCAUAGAAUAUUACGCUAGAAGCUAUUGGUCCCGGAGGCCCCAAAACAACACAAGCUAUUGCCGUUGCUCUUGGGUGCCCACCUGAACCAGAUGGCAAGAUCAUAUUGCCGAAGACACCGCACAACACACUUGGUUUGCUGGACAUAGAGAAGUUAACCUUGCACUGACCAGGAAACUCUUCACCACCUGGCUAGCUUCCACGGAGAUUGAAAAUGCUAUGUAGGUUGCUGGGGAAGAAAAGGCCCUUACCCCCACCUCCACCCCUCCUCUUCAUGCUUUUUGUAAAAGAUGUGAUCACUCAGCUUCCUACUUAGGCUGCCAUGCUUGCCCACCAUGAUGGACUCUUAUGCCUCUGGAACUGUAAGCCCAAACAACUCUUCUGUAAGUUGCCUUGGUCAUGUGUUUUAUCAUAGCAAAGAAAAGCAACUAAUACAGGGGGUAACCAAUGACUUUCUAAAUGGAUUUGAGGCCUACUUCACAAGAGAGAUUUCAUGUCUGG